GAUGUGGAGAAAGCUAAUCUACUGUGAUACAGCAUGGCCAGAGGGCAGCAGGAGAGUGUUAGCAGGGACCCUUAUUCCCUGCAAGUGGAGGAAGGUUUUUAUAGAUUAAAUAGAGCACCUGAAGCCAAUUAGAGCACCAGCAGUC